rnacentral:rRNA from 1 species
GAUUGAACGCUAGCGGGAUGCUCUACACAUGCAAGUCGAACGGCAGCGCGGACUUCGGUCUGGCGGCGAGUGGCGAACGGGUGAGUAAUGUAUCGGAACGUGCCCAGUAGCGGGGGAUAACUACGCGAAAGCGUAGCUAAUACCGCAUACGCCCUACGGGGGAAAGCAGGGGAUCGUAAGACCUUGCACUAUUGGAGCGGCCGAUAUCGGAUUAGCUAGUUGGUGAGGUAACGGCUCACCAAGGCGACGAUCCGUAGCUGGUUUGAGAGGACGACCAGCCACACUGGGACUGAGACACGGCCCAGACUCCUACGGGAGGCAGCAGUGGGGAAUUUUGGACAAUGGGGGCAACCCUGAUCCAGCCAUCCCGCGUGUGCGAUGAAGGCCUUCGGGUUGUAAAGCACUUUUGGCAGGAAAGAAACGUCGCGGGCUAAUACCCCGUGGAACUGACGGUACCUGCAGAAUAAGCACCGGCUAACUACGUG